GUACUCAAAGGGUAAAACUAUGUCGUUUUAAUAUAAAAAAUUACGUCUAAGAUCUUCUUUAUGUUUAUUUCAAGUUCCACCAUGUUACUUGAGCGAUACUGCGUUUGCCGCGGGCAUUCUACCCUUGGAGCAAAGUACUGUGACACCGCAAAAUACUCAGUACCUGGUGUACGCCCAUAAUCCGGGCGGAUUCGAUUUCAAAAGUUCCGGAGCCGUGAACGCCGAGAACACGUGCGGCGACUCCGUGUCCACCGUCAGAGAGACGCUGAUUGUGAACAUCAUCAGUACGUGACGUCGCCGAGGACGUCAGCGGAACGUUGACGUUAAAGACGUUGGAUUUUGUUACUUUCGAUAAGUCUGAUGCCACCUGCUCAAUGACGAGCGCUGACGGAGGACCAUUCGCCGUCACUGGAAGCCUCUUUAUUAAAAAUCCAGUUCAGGUGGACAGUGUCGUCCCUGAUAAGCCUGUGGGAACUGCAUAGGCUGAUCUGAAAUGACGCUUUAGCACGUGCAUUAAGUCCAGUUUUCGCAGAAUGAGACGUAUAUAAGCUCACGCACAGACGUCUUUCAGGCAACCAAAUCGUAAAGACGGCUGGAGCUCUGGACUUUGAGACAAAGGCAACGUAUAAUCUUGCCGUCACGUGCACUGACGACCUUCUUCA